AUGAGCGCUAGCGACAGGCCUAACACAUGCAAGUCAGGGGCAGCACAAGGAGCAAUCUGAGGUGGCGACCGGCGCACGGGUGAGUAACACGUAUGCAACCUGCCUGUAAGCGGGGAAUAACCCGUUGAAAGACGGACUAAUACCGCAUAAUACUAAAUUACUGCAUGGUAAUUUAUUUAAACAUUUAUGGCUUACAGAUGGGCAUGCGCAUGAUUAGCUAGUUGGAGAGGUAACGGCUCCCCAAGGCAACGAUCAUUAGGGGUUCUGAGAGGAAGGUCCCCCACACUGGUACUGAGACACGGACCAGACUCCUACGGGAGGCAGCAGUGAGGAAUAUUGGUCAAUGGACGAGAGUCUGAACCAGCCAAGUCGCGUGCAGGAAGAAUGUCCUAUGGAUUGUAAACUGCUUUUGCAGGGGAAUAAAGUGCAUCACGUGUGAUGUUUUGUAUGUACUCUGCGAAUAAGGAUCGGCUAACUCCGUGCCAGCAGCUGC
rnacentral:rRNA from 1 species